UAGGGAAUCUUCCGCAAUGGACGCAAGUCUGACGGAGCAACGCCGCGUGAGUGAAGAAGGAUUUCGGUUCGUAAAACUCUGUUGUUAGAGAAGAACAGCGCAUAGAGUAACUGUUAUGCGUGUGACGGUAUCUAACCAGAAAGCCACGGCUAACUACGUGCCAGCAGCCGCGGUAAUACGUAGGUGGCAAGCGUUGUCCGGAUUUAUUGGGCGUAAAGCGAGCGCAGGCGGUCAAUUAAGUCUGAUGUGAAAGCCCCCGGCUCAACCGGGGAGGGUCAUUGGAAACUGGUUGACUUGAGUGCAGAAGAGGAGAGUGAAAUUCCAUGUGUAGCGGUGAAAUGCGUAGAUAUAUGGAGGAACACCAGUGGCGAAGGCGACUCUCUGGUCUGUAACUGACGCUGAGGCUCGAAAGCGUGGGUAGCAAACAGG
rnacentral:rRNA from 1 species